CCCAGUCCUAUUGAUGCAAGCGUGUUCCCGACAGUAGUUUCUGUACUCUGAGUGACGAGGCAGCAGUGGAGCAAAUGAGUAUAAAUACCAGCACCUUUUCCCUCAGUCAACCAUCACAAAGGAGCUGACAAGAGUCAACGAGAGAGUCAAAGGAUCUGACCACCUUAAACCACUCAAACCUCCUGAAGAUGAAGGCGUUCAGUUAGUUGCAGUGGCCGUUGCACUCAUCUGUAUUUGCAUUCAGCAGAGCUCUGCCACAUUUGCUGAGAUACGAGAACUGCAAGAGCUACAAGAGGCUGUGAACAAUGACGGUCCAGCUGCUGAACAUCAGGAGGUAUCAGCUGACUCAUGGCUGAUGCCGUACCACAGACAGAAGCGUGGCAUCAAGUGUCGCUUUUGCUGCGGCUGCUGCAAUUCUGGUGUCUGUGGAUUGUGCUGCAGAUUCUGAGAAUAUCUACCUGCGAUUCUCACAUUAACCACUAAAUAUAGACGGUUAUACCUGAAAUGAUUUGACUGCUUAGCAUUUGUUAAAGUCUGACAGUGUUUCUUCAUCUGGUGAUCCUGCUGUAACAGUGAACAGUGCAGCAUUUGGAACUACAGUAUGUUAUUAUAUUAAACUUCAGUGGCACUAUACUACAACA